GGUUGCUUAGCUCAGCCGGUAGAGCGCCUAAACCCAUGCGAUAGACGCAAUCAUCUCUAAGAGAUGCACAGUCACAAUCGCUCCUUCGAUUAUAAUGCAAUUUAGAGCAGGAGACGGGUGGUUCGAAUCCCCCAGCAACCA
rnacentral:tRNA from 1 species